UUUUUCUGCUCGGUCUCUCUGGGGUCGCCUUCCUGGAACACUUUGGUUAUUGAUCCUGCUGAAAGAGCCGGAGUGAGGAGACUGCGCUUCCUUGGGGACGAAGGGAGUGGGGAGAAGGGGUCGGCUGGUGGUUGGGGAGGGAGUUGAUAAACUUUAGGAGAGGACGUGGGGCAAUCCUCUGUACCCCAGGGACGCCC
rnacentral:lncRNA from 1 species